CCCUUAGAUGUUCUGGGCUGCACGCGCGCUACACUGAUGCGCUCAACGAGUUUACGAACUUGCCCGGAAGGGUUGGUUAAUCUUUUUAAAACGCAUCGUGAUGGGGAUAGAUUAUUGCAAUUAUUAAUCUUCAACGAGGAAUUCCUAGUAAGCGCGAGUCAUCAGCUCGCACUGAUUACGUCCCUGCCCUUUGUACACACCGCCCGUCGCACCUACCGAUUGAAUGGUCCGGUGAAAUCUUCGGAUUGAGACUUUGUUUUCUUCACGGAAAACGCUGUUUUAAAAAGUUGAUUAAACCUUACCAUUUAGAGGAAGGUGAAGUCGUAACA
rnacentral:rRNA from 1 species